rnacentral:sRNA from 1 species
GAACCGCCCGUGUCAACCGGGCGUGACGGUAAGGAAUACAGGAUGGAUUUUCCCGGUUUCCCCACCUGGCAUCGGCGCAUCGGCAGACGCGCUCCUGUCCCGUCCGGGCG